GGAUAGGGGGGAUUGCGGUGAGGGGGUCAGAUAUCUCGUCUGAAAUGGAGAGCAGGAGGAUCUGUGGGAAGGGAAGGAGGUGCUCUGAAAUACACACAUACACACACGCACACACAAACAGACUUUACUUGUCCCUGUGUCUCAGCCAUUAUCUCGGUGAGUCUCUUAGUCUCUGUCUCUCUGAGUAUCACUGUCUCUGUGUCUCCUUCUCUGCGUUCUGUUACUGUGCCUCUAAGUCUCUGGGUUCUCUGAGUCUCUGUGUGUCUGGACUUCUAUGUCUCUGUCUCUCUGUGUCUCUGUCUCCCUCUCCAUCCUCCCCGCCCCCAGAACCUUUCUGUUCCCUCCCGCGACGCUGCGGAGUUGAUGUAGAGCGAGUCUCUCACUGACUAUCCCCUGGGAGCUGAGCAGAGGGGCUGAGGCGCCAGCCUGGGGAGAGAAAUCCAGAGCUCUGAUCGCGAUUUGGGCACUCACUCGCUAAGGGAGUUGGAGGAGGGCGCUUGGGCUUUCUGGGACUAAACUUCCCCCCUCUUCUGGGGGCCAUUGGUGCCAGGGGCGGCUUUCUAGGGCUACGGAGGGAGGGCAGGGACAACGGGUCAGUGUUGUCGCUGUGACAGGUGAUCGGAGGAGGAGCCGGAGGAGGAACCCAACCUGUCAACCACCGACGUGGUUCUACAGCACCGCGACCAGUUUGGACCAUGACCUGACCCUGGGAGCUGAAGGCGAAUCAACGCAGCGCCCUCCCCUCCUGGCUCCCGCGAACAAUUGCUUCCUCCCCCCGGCAUGCCGCUUUAAGGAAGUCCAGACUCUGGCCGUCGUCGCCGACGCCUUCUACUGUCUCUACUCCUACGUGUCCAAGAAGCCCGUGCAAAAGUUCACGCCGUCACCGUCCAGCUGAUCCUGCUCCUCGGGCCCGCCCCCGCGCAUCUUGGUCCCGAAGCCCGAGGCCCGCACACCCGUGGAGCGGCUGCAGAGGGCCGUGUCCCGAAGAUGUUUGUACACGAUCCCCCGAGGGGGCCCCGCGCCUCGAGCCUAAUCCAGAAUCGGUUCCCCCGGCGCCGCCCCCACCAAGGGUCUCCUGGCCCGCGUGUUGCGGGAGGUAGGUGAUGGGCCGGGCUCAGGAGGAAGAUCUCUGUGCAGGGGCCGGGACCAGGAACGACCCUGCGGAGGAGAGGGAGACAGCGAGUCCCCCCUCCGGGGUCCCCAGUGCAACAGUGAGCGCGGCGUCCACUCCUUGCGGGAGCGGAGGCGAAACAUGGGAACAGCUGGGUGUCGGGGGUUGCGGAGAGGCUCGGGGGUCUUUUUAGGCAUGGAUUGCAGCAGCCUCAGUGACGCUCGCCCACUCACCCCCGACGAGUCCCAGAUUAACCCAGGGCGGGGGCGGAGACCCCCAAGACCGGGCUGUCAGCUCUGGUGUCUGGGAAGGGGGGACGGGGUAAGGAGGUUUUGCGCCUUUGGGAAAGGCGCGAGGAUUGAAUCCAGCCCAGCACCAGAGGCUGAAUAAGGCUGUAUGCUGCGGAGGCGGGAACUACGCUGGUCAACUGUCCGAGGCUCCUCUCUCUUCCCUGAGCCGUGCCGGGUCGUUUGUCGACGGGGAGGGGAACUCUGCGCUGCUGGUGGCAGCACCAGCUCGGUCCCCGCCGCCCGGUUGUGCUAGGUGUUCUGUGGCCACUCCCUUAAACUCUCUGGGCUUCUCGGCCCCAGUCCGGAGUUCCGGGACCAGGGAGGCCGCGAUUUGGGCAUCUCCACCCUCCUCUCUGCGUCCUUAUUUAUCCUAAUCUCCGCCUCUGCUGCUCUCGGUCUUUGCAACUCUGCGGUAUUCUCCUCACCCUCUUGGGGCAGCGAAAAGUUUGAAAUGUGCCUUGAGAUCCCCGGAGAACACCCUUGGAUCGGAGAGGUUGUGGAAAGGGGAUCGGGUCGUUAUAAGGAGAAUGGGGGCUGGGGGAGACAGUGGAGAGUAGCCCCGUUGUAGUCAGGGCAAGGUCCGGGCGACGAAUUGGUUCCCACACCGUCCCCGAGCUCAUGGCCCUUCCUUCAGCUCCAACUUUCAUUCAUUCAUGCACUCAUUCAUUCAGUCGUAUUAUUGAGCUCUUACUGUGUUCAGAGCACUA